rnacentral:lncRNA from 1 species
UGCUUUCCCAGACAUUGGAAAAUUCCUGGAAUUCUCCCAGCCGUGAUUCCCAAAUUUCCCACCCCAAAAAUCCUGGAAUUCUUCCAUCUUUGAUUCCCAGAAAUCCUGGAAUUCUCCCAGCCGUGAUUCCCAAAUUUCCCACCCCAGAAAUCCCCGGAUCCCCUGCCAUUCCAAGAAUUCCCAAAUUUCCCAGGACCGCUGAGAAUUCCCAACUUUUCCCAUCAAUCCGGAUCCACCGGGGCUCCUCACCAGUUUAUCCAGGAAAGUCACAAAAUCCUGGGAAAAGGACGAGGGAUCGGGAUCAGAUCCCGUCGGGAUCGGCCCUUCCCGGCCUCCCCCAUUCCCAGGAAUUCCUCACCUCGCAGAUCCGCUCCUGGGAAUAUUCCGGAAUAUCUGCCGGGAAAACGCCGGAUCCGUCAUUCCUCAUUCCUGGGAUUCUCCCUCUUUUUUCAGGAAAUUUUUCCCAAAUUUUCCCCAAUUUUUUUCCCAAUUUUUUCUGGGUUUUUUUCCCCCCGUCCUUUUCCCGAUUUUUCCUGCAUUUUCCCCUCUUUUCCCUCUUUUUUUCCAUUUUUUUCCUCCUUUUUUCCACCUUUUUUUCCCCCUUUUUUCCCUCCUUUUUCCCUCCUUUUUCCCUCUGUUUUUCAGGAAUUUUUCCCAAUUUUCCCAAAUUUUUUCCUCAUUUUUUCCCCAUUUUUUCUGGGAUUUUUCCCCUCCUUUUCCCGAUUUUUUUCCUGGGAUUUCCCAAAUUUCCCCCUUUUUUUUCCCCUCCCUUUCCCAAUUUUUCCUGGGUUUUUUCCCUCUCCUUUUCCCGAUAUUUCCUGAAUUUUCCCCUCUUUUUUCUUUCCCUUUCCCUCUCUUUUUCCCUCAUUUCCCCUUUUUUUUCCUCCUUUUUCUUCCCUUUUUUUUUCCCAAUUUUUCCAGUUUUUUCCUCUUUUUUUCUCCUUUUUUCCCCCCUCUGAUCCUUCCCAUUUUUUUAGGAAUUUUCCCAUUUUUUCCCUCCUUUUCCCAAUUUUUUCUGGGUUUUUCCCUCUUUUUCCUUCCUCCCUUUUCCCUCAUUUUUCCCUCUUUUUUCCCUCAUUUUCCCCCAUUUUUUCUUCUUUUUCCUUCCCUCUUUUCUCCUUUUUUCCCAAUUUUUCCCUGUUUUUCCCCGUCCUUUUCCCCUCAGAUUCUCCCUCUUUUUUCCAGGAAUUUUCCCCAAAUUUUCCC